UAUUGCAUUGACAAAACACAUAAUAAAAUUAAAACAAUACAGAGAAAAUCAGCAUGGUCCCUUUGCAAGAAUGACACAAAAACUUGGGAAGUGUUACAUAAUUAA